GAUGAACGCUAGCGGGAGGCCUAACACAUGCAAGCCGAGCGGUAUGUAUUCUUAGCUUGCUAAGAAUGCAGAGAGCGGCGCACGGGUGCGUAACAUGUGUGCAACUUGCCUUUAUCAGGGGGAUAGCCUUUCGAAAGGAAGAUUAAUACCCCAUAAUAUAUUGAUUGGCAUCAAUUAAUAUUGAAAACAUUUGUGGAUAAAGAUAGGCACGCACAAGAUUAGCUAGUUGGUACGGUAACGGCGUACCAAGGCGACGAUCUUUAGGGGGCCUGAGAGGGUGAUCCCCCACACUGGUACUGAGACACGGACCAGACUCCUACGGGAGGCAGCAGUGAGGAAUAUUGGACAAUGGGUGAGAGCCUGAUCCAGCCAUCCCGCGUGAAGGACGACGGACCUAUGGUUUGUAAACUUCUUUUAUAUAGGAAUAAACCUACCCUCGUGAGGGUAGCUGAAUGUACUAUACGAAUAAGCACCGGCUAACUCCGUGCCAGCAGCCGCGGUAAUACGGAGGGUGCAAGCGUUAUCCGGAUUUAUUGGGUUUAAAGGGUCCGUAGGCGGGCUAAUAAGUCAGUAGUGAAAUCUUGUCGCUUAACGAUAAAACUGCUAUUGAUACUGUUAGUCUUGAGUGUAUUUGAAGUAGCUGGAAUGAGUAGUGUAGCGGUGAAAUGCAUAGAUAUUACUCAGAACACCAAUUGCGAAGGCAGGUUACUAAGAUACAACUGACGCUGAUGGACGAAAGCGUGGGGAGCGAACAGGAUUAGAUACCCUGGUAGUCCACGCCCGUAAAACGAUGCUUACUCGUUUUCGCGUUUUAUAAAUUCGGAGACCAAGCGAAAGUGAUAAGUAAGCCACCUGGGGAGUACGCUCGCAUGAGUGAAACUCAAAGGAAUUGACGGGGGCCCGCACAAGCGGUGGAUUAUGUGGUUUAAUUCGAUGAUACGCGAGGAACCUUACCAAGACUUAAAUGUAUUUUGACAGGUUUAGAGAUAGACUUUUCUUCGGACAAAAUACAAGGUGCUGCAUGGUUGUCGUCAGCUCGUGCCGUGAGGUGUUAGGUUAAGUCCUGCAACGAGCGCAACCCCUAUCUUUAGUUGCUAACAUUAAGUUGAGGACUCUAGAGAGACUGCCUACGCAAGUAGAGAGGAAGGUGGGGAUGACGUCAAAUCAUCACGGCCCUUACGUCUUGGGCUACACACGUAAUACAAUGGUAGGUACAGGGGGCAGCUACACAGUGAUGUGAUGCAAAUCUCGAAAGCCUAUCUCAGUUCGGAUUGGAGUCUGCAACUCGACUCUAUGAAGCUGGAAUCGCUAGUAAUCGCGCAUCAGCCAUGGCGCGGUGAAUACGUUCCCGGGCCU
rnacentral:rRNA from 1 species